GGCGAACGCUGGCGGCGUGCCUAAUACAUGCAAGUUGAGCGAUGAAGCUUGGUGCUUGCACCAAUUUGAAGAGCAGCGCACGGGUGAGUAACGCGUGGGGAAUCUGCCUUUGAGCGGGGGACAACAUUUGGAAACGAAUGCUAAUACCGCAUAACAACUUUAUACAUAAGUUUUAAGAUUGAAAGAUGCAAUUGCAUCACUCAAUGAUGACUCCGCGUUGUAUUAGCUAGUUGGUGAGGUAAAGGCUCACCAAGGUGAGGAUACAUAGCCGACCUGAGAGGGUGAUCAGCCACAUUGAGACUGAGACACGGCCCAAACGCCUACGGGAGGCAGCAGUAGUGAAUCUUCGGCAAGGGACGAGAGUCUGACCGAGCAACGCCGCGUGAGUGAAGAAGGUUUUCGGAUCGGAAAACUCUGUUGGUAGGGAAGAACGUUGGUGAGAGUGGAAAGCUCAUCAAGUGACGGUAACUACCCAGAAAGGGACGGCUAACUACGUG
rnacentral:rRNA from 1 species